rnacentral:rRNA from 1 species
UUAAGUUAUUAAGGGCGCACGGUGGAUGCCUUGGCACUAGAAGCCGAUGAAGGACGUUACUAACGACGAUAUGCUUUGGGGAGCUGUAAGUAAGCUUUGAUCCAGAGAUUUCCGAAUGGGGAAACCCAGCAUGAGUUAUGUCAUGUUAUCGAUAUGUGAAUACAUAGCAUAUCAGAAGGCACACCCGGAGAACUGAAACAUCUUAGUACCCGGAGGAAGAGAAAGAAAAUUCGAUUCCCUUAGUAGCGGCGAGCGAAACGGGAAGAGCCCAAACCAACAAGCUUGCUUGUUGGGGUUGUAGGACACUCUAUACGGAGUUACAAAGGACGACAUUAGACGAAUCAUCUGGAAAGAUGAAUCAAAGAAGGUAAUAAUCCUGUAGUCGAAAAUGUUGUCUCCCUUGAGUGGAUCCUGAGUACGACGGAGCACGUGAAAUUCCGUCGGAAUCUGGGAGGACCAUCUCCUAAGGCUAAAUACUCUCUAGUGACCGAUAGUGAACCAGUACCGUGAGGGAAAGGUGAAAAGCACCCCGGAAGGGGAGUGAAAUAGAACCUGAAACCGUGUGCUUACAAGUAGUCAGAGCCCGUUAAUGGGUGAUGGCGUGCCUUUUGUAGAAUGAACCGGCGAGUUACGAUUUGAUGCAAGGUUAAGCAGUAAAUGUGGAGCCGUAGCGAAAGCGAGUCUGAAUAGGGCGUUUAGUAUUUGGUCGUAGACCCGAAACCAGGUGAUCUACCCUUGGUCAGGUUGAAGUUCAGGUAACACUGAAUGGAGGACCGAACCGACUUACGUUGAAAAGUGAGCGGAUGAACUGAGGGUAGCGGAGAAAUUCCAAUCGAACCUGGAGAUAGCUGGUUCUCUCCGAAAUAGCUUUAGGGCUAGCCUCAAGUGAUGAUUAUUGGAGGUAGAGCACUGUUUGGACGAGGGGCCCCUCUCGGGUUACCGAAUUCAGACAAACUCCGAAUGCCAAUUAAUUUAACUUGGGAGUCAGAACAUGGGUGAUAAGGUCCGUGUUCGAAAGGGAAACAGCCCAGACCACCAGCUAAGGUCCCAAAAUAUAUGUUAAGUGGAAAAGGAUGUGGCGUUGCCCAGACAACUAGGAUGUUGGCUUAGAAGCAGCCAUCAUUUAAAGAGUGCGUAAUAGCUCACUAGUCGAGUGACACUGCGCCGAAAAUGUACCGGGGCUAAACAUAUUACCGAAGCUGUGGAUUGUCCUUUGGACAAUGGUAGGAGAGCGUUCUAAGGGCGUUGAAGCAUGAUCGUAAGGACAUGUGGAGCGCUUAGAAGUGAGAAUGCCGGUGUGAGUAGCGAAAGACGGGUGAGAAUCCCGUCCACCGAUUGACUAAGGUUUCCAGAGGAAGGCUCGUCCGCUCUGGGUUAGUCGGGUCCUAAGCUGAGGCCGACAGGCGUAGGCGAUGGAUAACAGGUUGAUAUUCCUGUACCACCUAUAAUCGUUUUAAUCGAUGGGGGGACGCAGUAGGAUAGGCGAAGCGUGCGAUUGGAUUGCACGUCUAAGCAGUAAGGCUGAGUAUUAGGCAAAUCCGGUACUCGUUAAGGCUGAGCUGUGAUGGGGAGAAGACAUUGUGUCUUCGAGUCGUUGAUUUCACACUGCCGAGAAAAGCCUCUAGAUAGAAAAUAGGUGCCCGUACCGCAAACCGACACAGGUAGUCAAGAUGAGAAUUCUAAGGUGAGCGAGCGAACUCUCGUUAAGGAACUCGGCAAAAUGACCCCGUAACUUCGGGAGAAGGGGUGCUCUUUAGGGUUAACGCCCAGAAGAGCCGCAGUGAAUAGGCCCAAGCGACUGUUUAUCAAAAACACAGGUCUCUGCUAAACCGUAAGGUGAUGUAUAGGGGCUGACGCCUGCCCGGUGCUGGAAGGUUAAGAGGAGUGGUUAGCUUCUGCGAAGCUACGAAUCGAAGCCCCAGUAAACGGCGGCCGUAACUAUAACGGUCCUAAGGUAGCGAAAUUCCUUGUCGGGUAAGUUCCGACCCGCACGAAAGGCGUAACGAUUUGGGCACUGUCUCAACGAGAGACUCGGUGAAAUCAUAGUACCUGUGAAGAUGCAGGUUACCCGCGACAGGACGGAAAGACCCCGUGGAGCUUUACUGUAGCCUGAUAUUGAAAUUCGGCACAGCUUGUACAGGAUAGGUAGGAGCCUUUGAAACGUGAGCGCUAGCUUACGUGGAGGCGCUGGUGGGAUACUACCCUAGCUGUGUUGGCUUUCUAACCCGCACCACUUAUCGUGGUGGGAGACAGUGUCAGGCGGGCAGUUUGACUGGGGCGGUCGCCUCCUAAAAGGUAACGGAGGCGCUCAAAGGUUCCCUCAGAAUGGUUGGAAAUCAUUCAUAGAGUGUAAAGGCAUAAGGGAGCUUGACUGCGAGACCUACAAGUCGAGCAGGGUCGAAAGACGGACUUAGUGAUCCGGUGGUUCCGCAUGGAAGGGCCAUCGCUCAACGGAUAAAAGCUACCCCGGGGAUAACAGGCUUAUCUCCCCCAAGAGUUCACAUCGACGGGGAGGUUUGGCACCUCGAUGUCGGCUCAUCGCAUCCUGGGGCUGUAGUCGGUCCCAAGGGUUGGGCUGUUCGCCCAUUAAAGCGGUACGCGAGCUGGGUUCAGAACGUCGUGAGACAGUUCGGUCCCUAUCCGUCGUGGGCGUAGGAAAUUUGAGAGGAGCUGUCCUUAGUACGAGAGGACCGGGAUGGACAUACCUCUGGUGUACCAGUUGUCGUGCCAACGGCAUAGCUGGGUAGCUAUGUGUGGACGGGAUAAGUGCUGAAAGCAUCUAAGCAUGAAGCCCCCCUCAAGAUGAGAUUUCCCAACUUCGGUUAUAAGAUCCCUCAAAGAUGAUGAGGUUAAUAGGUUCGAGGUGGAAGCAUGGUGACAUGUGGAGCUGACGAAUACUAAUCGAUCGAAGACUUAAUCAA